rnacentral:rRNA from 1 species
AACGAACGCUGGCGGCAUGCCUAACACAUGCAAGUCGAACGAGACCUUCGGGUCUAGUGGCGCACGGGUGCGUAACGCGUGGGAACCUGCCUUUAGGUUCGGAAUAACUCAGAGAAAUUUGAGCUAAUACCGGAUGAUGUCUUCGGACCAAAGAGUUAUCGCCUUUAGAUGGGCCCGCGUUGGAUUAGCUAGUUGGUGGGGUAAAGGCCUACCAAGGCGACGAUCCAUAGCUGGUCUGAGAGGAUGAUCAGCCACACUGGGACUGAGACACGGCCCAGACUCCUACGGGAGGCAGCAGUGGGGAAUAUUGGACAAUGGGCGCAAGCCUGAUCCAGCAAUGCCGCGUGAGUGAUGAAGGCCUUAGGGUUGUAAAGCUCUUUUACCCGAGAUGAUAAUGACAGUAUCGGGAGAAUAAGCUCCGGCUAACUCCGUG